GGGUGCUUUUCAAAAGCAUCUCCGCUGAAGAAGACGUCCCAGAUCUGCAGUAUCCGGAUAGAUAUAACUACCUUCAGAGCAGCCACAAAGACAGACGUCAGAAAGCCUGCAGUGUCUCUAAUAAGACAAAUAUGCUACCCAAAAGUCCCAUAGUUUCACCAGUGAGGCUACCAGUUGGGGAUGUCAACACGAGGACUUGGCAAGGAAAUACUAUGAAAUGCGUCAUCGCCUCUCACACACGAAUGUCAUGGUAGGAACAGCUGGAUUCAGGAUUUCACCCCUGCAUUGGGGCCUCACCUGAUGGAUACGUUUCCUGUAGCUGCUGUGGUUCAGGUGUCAUAGAAAUUAAGUGCCCAUUUUCUGCAAAGGACCUUUCUGUUAAUUAGGCAGUAAAGUGUUUUUCUGCACAGAAACCAGCACCAGCAGCAGCAGCAUUUGCUGAUCAUAGUCAACAACAGUGGUGCUACUGCCCUGAGCCAGAAGCAGGGAACAUGGUGGUCUGUGCGUCAGGUUUUUGUUCAGUUAAAAAGUUUCACCAGACCUGCCUUCGCAUGAAAAGGGUCCCAAAACAGUGGGUAUGUCCCAUCUGCCGAAAAGUGAUCAAUGCCCAAAGAAGAAAACCUUAGUGAGGAGACUGUGAAAUGAGUUGUUUGUAGUAGCUGAUACUGUACUGUUAUUUAUGAAUAAACAGUUGUUAAACCAAUAUUGUUCUCUUCCCCAUAAUUUGUAUUAGAUAUCUGUAGCAAUCAGGGAUAUGAAACAUGGGUGGGUCAUUCAUAUAAAACACACCAGAACAAAUAUCUGUUUGGGUGGAACUCAAGUUAGAAUGGGUGGAUGUGCAGCUUGAUCUGCAAAGAGAAACGAUGUGAUCGCAUCAGAAUAGCGAGUGAUUAAAAAUAAUGUCACGACAAGCAAGCAAGAAGUGUGAGUCACAAAGGUUUAUUUGCUGGUUGAGCACAUCUGUAGCCAGUCACAUCAGUUCAAUUUACUGUAAAUCCCCAUCACUGGAAGGACACCACAGAUUCAGACACAUUUGUAAGUGCACAACACACGCUCACCAUCUUGUCAAGGUAGGCCACAUCAUUUUCCCUGUCUAUGUCCGUGAAACAUAUGGGGACAGUGCUUUGCAAGACUGUGUACUUUUGACGGAGAACUCCUAUCACUCUUUCAAUAUGUAUCCUAAGAGAGGCUAGACGUCUGGUGUUCUCCAAGUCAGCAGGAUCUAACUGCUUCUAUCCACGAGUAAAUGCUGGAAUUUUUAAUUCAGCUUGGCAUCUCUCAAUGGACUCUUUAACCAGACAACCUCUGUCCGCUAAAACUACGUCCCCUGGGAGCAAAUGAGAUAAAAAGUGACUUUGUUCUGUGAUAAACGUAUCACUUGUGCGACCUCCCCAUCCAGCGGAAAUGAAACAAAUGGAACCUCGAGGGCAAAUUGCAAUUAAAUAUUUCAUUGUGUGGUGUGAUUUGUAUGAUGAGUAACACUGAGCACUGGCUAGCAAUCUACUGGGUUUCUCUAGAAAUAUUUCAAAACAAUCUAUAAUGCAAACUGUCUUUUCAAAGCUACGGUUUCGAAAUGCAUAUGGAAGAGAUUUUCUUAAGUAUUCUCUGUCAGGCCACAACACCAGACUUGGCACCAGUCUACAAUGCAUCACACUAAUGCAGUGUUUGAAGAGCUUUGAAACAGUGGUUGAGUCAAUGUCAAAAUAAAAAGCCAAAAACUCAAAGGACAAGUUCAUUCUAAGCUUAAUUAAAGUUAACAUGUACUGCUGAAAACAUGUUAAACUAGAUUUAAGUUGGAGAAAAGGAGCCACAAUAUGAAAAAUUGUCAUGAGAAUGGAGAAUGCUGAUAAACCAGUGAGAGUAUGAACCCUUUUAUCAUCGUUAUGCAAGCUCAUCUCAUUCAGUGUAGUCCUAUUCAUUUUUUCCUUCAACAACAUAUUUUCAGUCCUCAGAGCUUGGCAUUCUUGCUCAAGAGAUUGGACGCGUUUACCACAGGUUUCAGUGGUGCAUGGUGGGGUUGCUGGAUCCUCCUCAUGGAGAACAGGCUGGACAUCGUUUCCAGGUUCUUCAUGGGUAGAUUCCUUCAAAGGCUCUGUGGUGGGACUUUGCUCUGCAGUAGGAUCCUUGUUGCAGUCUUGGGGACAAUCUGUUGAUGCUCUGGUGAAAACAAAAGUAGUAUAAACUGUCACUACUGAUGACAGUUUGUCAUUCUUUUGUCAGUCACUCUCUGUUUUCUGCAGUAUACUAGCUUUCGUUAGUAAGAAAGUAAGUAAAUUGUAUUUGUAUAGCACAUUUACAUCCAAAAGUGCUUUAUAGUCGGUAUAUGAUAAAUAAACAAUGUAAUAAAAUAAAUGAAUAGAAAGACAAUGACAGGGAUAUUGACAAUGACAGUGACAAUCACAUGCAUAGUCAGUGGCUGCCAAAUGCAAGUCGGUAUAGGUGUGUGAUGAUUUCAGCCCAGUCACAGAUGUUAUGUUUUUUAGCUCAUUGGGUGUUAUUAAACCUACAAUGAAUUGUACAAAAAAAAAUUGGUUUAUAAUUUUCCCAAGUCCAUGGAAGUGGGGUUGACCAGGUUAAGGAACUUAAAUAUUCACCUGGGAGGGAUGGCUUUCGCAGAUAGCUUUGUCUGCUCCAUCUUCUGUAGCUUUGCUCCCUGUCGUCUGUUGAAAACCUCCAGUCUCAUUUUUCUUUUCCUCUUCUCUGGAGAUGGAACGUAGUUGAAAAGAGAUGGAACAAAGUCCGGACUCAAGGGAUUAUCACUCCUUCUCCCUACAAAAUAAAUAGAAACAUUUCAGCGUCGAACUUGGGUUUGUUUACUACUACGUUAGCACUUGCUAGCUUAGCAGCAUAAAAAACAGGACAUUGUCAGCCCCACGAAUUGCAUGCUAUAAAUCAACUAGCUGUGUGUGUGUGUGUGUGUGUGUGUGUGUGUGUGUGUGUGUGUGUGUGUGUGUGUGUGUGUGUGUGUGUGUGUGUGUGUGUGUGUGUGUGUGUGUGUGUGUGUGUGUGUGUGUGUGGGUGGUGAGGGGGUACUUACAGGGGGGCCGGGAAGUCCAGGUUGGCCUUUCAUUCCCAUCAUUCCCUGGAGAUAGAGGAAAGAAAUCAAAGGUCAAACAACAGCAAUGUCCAACACCAGUGGCUGUGCAUGUUGUGGGCUGUGAGUAAGAUAUGCCGCUGAGGACAGAAUGCUAUACAACAGAAAGGGUUUUGUGUUAUAAAACCACACUUACAGUAGUCCAGAAAUGUGUGGAAGUAUUUCUUUGACGAUGAGUCCAUUGACUGGACUGAAAGCUAAGGUGAGAAUGCAUGCCAUAAAGUGGCAUAAAUCCCAGAACUCCAUGGGAAUAAUCCAUGGAUUGGGAAUGACAGUGAACACUGUAGCGGAAACCUAUUUGACAGGUGUGCUCUGACAUGGAAAGGUCUUCAGACUUCGAUGGGUUCUUAGUGGUAGUUCUGUGUGGUGAUGUGUAUGUGUGAAUACAUAGUGUUAUUGUUGGAGAGUUACCACAAAACUGCAGGUGUGUGUGUCUCAGAGUUUGUGCAUGUGUGUGUGUGUGUGUGUGUGUGUGUGUGUGUGUGUGUGUGUGUGUGUGUGUCUGAGUUUGUAUGUGUGGGUGUGUGUGUGUGUGUGUGUGUGUGUGUGUGUGUGUGUGUGUGUGUGUGUGUGUGUGUGUGUGUGUGUGUGUGUGUGUGUGUGUGUGUGUGUGUGUGUGUGUGUGUGUGUGUGUGUGUGUGUGUGUGUGUUCACCAUGGGGCCGGGACCAAUAUCAGCGCCUUUGUUGUGAUCAUACUGAGCAGCAAAGUUCUGUUGGAGUGAAAAAUAAAAACCAGAAUAAGAGACAAAAUAUACAUAUAAAAAUUCAUACAAUACAAUAUACUUAUUUUCUAAAUCAUAGGUUAUUGUCUGUUCCAUUGCUAUAAUUGUGCCAGAAUUUGGGUCAGGUGAGUUUAAGGGCUUGAUCGUUUAUCAAACAGAUGAACAGCAAAUCAGCAUCUUCCUGUAGCUUCUAUACCUUACGGUUACAAUAGGAUAUACCAGCCGGUUAACCUUAUUUACUGAGAGGCCUUCAUCAACAUUCAGGUCCCCCACCUAGGAACACUUUAGAACCAACAUCCAUCUUCAGUUCCCCCACCCAGCAGCACUUUAGAACCAACAUCCACCUUCAGUCCCCCACACAGUCACAUUUUAGAACCAACAUCCACCUUCAGUCCCCCCACCCAGCAGUUGACCAAGUCGGCCCCUAUAGGAUACUUACUCUGCCGAGGCCAGGGGGUCCUGGGGGCCCAGCAGGGCCGGGGUUGCCAGGUCUGCCGUCCCUCCCGUCAGGGCCCUGGGGUCCCUGUGGAGGAAGGCCUUGGGUUAGUCUCCGUUGAUUACCACUGAUUGACACACAGCCACCGUGUCUGCUGGGACGCUGCCAGAGUCCCAGCUCUGUUCGGCUGUGGAGCUCGGUUUGGUCUCAACUUGAAUAAAAGCGUCAUGUCCUUUUACUAAAUUGUUUUAUUAUUGUUAAUAAAGUUUAGAAAAGAUAAAUAUGAAUUUGUUCUGGAUAUGUGAGCCAAAGUCAGAAAAAAAUAAUAUACAACAAAUAUUUGUAGUUCAGGUUAUUUUCAGCCGUCGUGCAGCAGAGAUUGGUCCAUUAUUAUUUGUUAUAUUAUCACGGCGGAGGGCUUUAGGCUGUGCCUGAUGUAAACAAAGGGGUGUGGCCUAUUCAAGUUGAAAGGUCAAUCGGCGUCAUCAUAUAUCAACCCGAUAAACUUCAUGAAAGUUUCUAUCCAGCAAACAUGGCAUUGUCAUGCAUCUUGUCAUAAUUAAUGAGUUUGAUAGUGGCUUACCCUUUCACCUCUUGGUCCUUUCGGGCCCUGAGGAAUAUAAGUAAACAAUUGAUGAGUCAGAGGCAGACAUUAUUUAAACAGUGAGGCAAGUUCACGUAAAAAAAGGAAGGUAGACUUAAACUUAACAUAUCUAAAAUCUAAAACCUAAAAGAAGCUCGGCUACAAUCGCUGGGGGAUGAAUAGGUGCAUGUGGACAAACUGUGCAUGUGAACUGCACAGCCAAAGCACCAUUCAGGUGGGAACAUAUUUCAGUCCUCUUCAUUGAACCUGGCCUUUGGCUAGAGCUGAUGCCUACAAUGUCUGCCCUGAGCUAUGCUACGCAUUAUCACAUACACCACACUCAAAGGGCUAAAUGACACAUCCAACCAGGGUUUGAUUGCUCACUUUGAAUCUUCCCUGAGUAGAAAUAGAAGCUAAAUAAAUAGUGUUAUUUAUUUCUUUGUGUCAUUUAACUGUGCUGGCUGUAUCAUGCACUGUUCAGCAUUGCUGUUCAUCUAUCUCAUUGCACAUCAACCCAUUAACAUGCAGGGGAUUUAUGAUGCUGUACAUGUCCAUGCAGAAGCACA